rnacentral:lncRNA from 1 species
AAUUAUGAGAUUUUCAUCAAGAACAAUUAUGAGAUUUUCAUCUUCCUUUUUGACCCAACCGAUAAGGAGUAAUUUUUGAGAAGUGUGAUAAUGCUGAUUGUUAUGACUUCAUAGUAAGACGAUGAUAUAUAUAAAUGGAAUGAACUACAAAGAUCACAGUAAAUUUAUAUCAUAGCCCUUUCCUGUAUCACAGGGGCUUGCCUGAAAUCCCGCUUGCCGAAACACUAAAGAAGUACACAAAAAUAGCCCCGGUCUGGAAUUCUUGAUGUUCAACAAGUAAAUGAAAUUUCAAGAACUCCAAAAAAUAUGGGAAGCUUCAAGUUCUGCCAUGACUAAUUUUGGAAUACAGAGGACAAGUCUUGGGUGGGUUUUAUAUCAUUCAAGUGCUUGUUCGAAUCUUAAAUUACUUAUUUUACCAGAAAGCAUAAUGUAAUGGGAUGUGUGAAACUACAAGUCUGACUUCUUGCAAAUCUAGAUUGAAGGUGCAAAUUUUUUAUUGCAUAUUCUCAUUCUACUAGUGUUUCGAUUCUGUGAUAGAUAUUGUUGCUAGUUGUAAGAAAUGAUGAAUCGAGGUCUGUAAACUUGCAUAAGGUCAAAUUAACACAAAAGAGAUCCUCUGGUGAAGAAAUCUCGUCUAGAGAUGAGCACAUAGAUAACAUAAAAGCUUCUGAAGUGUCGAGAAUAGCACUUGGAAAAAAUCUAGAGCAACUUGAUUAUUAUGUUGAUUGAUCCAUAAUAGAAAGACAAAAUAAGGAUACAUCCUAAUAGAACUAUAUCUUUGCAAGCCCUCUUCUAAUUCGGCUAUGAUACAUAACAAUAAAGUCAAUAACUCCAGAAAACGGGGCAAGCGGGACGACCUUUCCUGUUUCUUGUCCUAAGAUUUUCAGGUGAUGGGUGGAGAAUAAAUAUCCUCAUGGCCUAAAUGUCCAUCUCGGUCGCCAUGUUUGGAUUACUAAAAGUCUAGCAAGAAACAUGGACAAAGAUCACAAAAGAAUGCAUCCAACAUCUAGCUUAAAUUUCUCAAUAAACAUUCAUAGGGGCAUUGCUCUGCCGCCACCGACAUAAUAAAAGUCUGGCAAGGAGCAUGGAGAUGGAGUAAUCUUGACACUUUUCCACCACAUCUAAAACCCUAGAGUCUCCAACAUCUACUUUAAAUUUCUCGAACAACACAUUUACUAAUGGAUUCAGCAGCAAUUCAUACAAAGAAAUUACAGGUAGUAGUAAAACUCUAUAAAUAUAUAAUCUUGGAAUGGACAUACCUGGAAGACAAUAUCAAAGAAAUCGAUUUGUAGAUAAAGCAACAUUUCACAGCAACCGAUCCAUAACAGAAGCCAAAAAUCUCAUAAUUCGAACUGCAGACGAAGCCUAAAUUUGCUUCAAUUGAAGAGUUUCAAUUAGGUUUGGGCCAACUAAACAUAUGCAACAAAGGGAGGGAAUGAAUAAUUUUAGGGAUAAAAUUUUUGGAGGCAUAGAAAUCGUGGACGACAGGCAAAAUUUAAGAGAGGGAAUGAAAAAAUUUGGGGAAAACCUUGGAGCCAGAGAGUAGUGGUAACUUACGUAAUUUGAGGAAUUUUUAAUUUUGGAACAAAAAAAAAAAGGUGUUCUCUCUUUUUAUUUUUACUUAUGUUUUUAAGUUCAAAUAUACAUUUUGUGGGGAAUAAAAUUAAAAAUUGUAGUUGAAAAUUUUCCUUGAAUAUUAGCCUACAAAUAUGUUUGACAUUUUUUGUCGUCAAAAGAUAGAUUUUUCCAGUCAUAUUUUUUGUCAGGAAGAAAAAACAUUUUUGUGGGCACAAGUCUUUCUAGUAUUGAAAAAUUUGAAAUCAUAGCUUACAAAACAUCGAUUUUGUGGGGAAAAGUGAACUUUGACUACAAAUUUCAAUUUGUCAAUGAAAAUUUUGUAGGUAAAGGAUAGAUUUCUUGUAGUGUUACUUCCUCACACACCAUUCCUGAAAAUCAAGCAUUUGAUUUCAGGGACGGAGCCAAGAGAGUAGAGGUGUGGGGGGAAAAAUAAAAAAUUUCAAGAUUUUUAUUUAUUUAUUUUUCUUUGGAACAUCUUGUGUAAAAUUUUGAAAAAUCUAUUGCAAAAUCUUGGUUUUCAAAUUUAGUGUGAAUGCUUCUGAGUAUGUUAUUGAUUAGAUAAGGCAUUGAUUCAGAAAAGUUGGCAUGCGUGCCACGAUGGGUGAAGGUAGUUUGUUGAAUUUUAACUUCUCCCUCCUCGUUCUAUAAAUUGGUACAUUCACCUCCAACCUUCCAUCUUCAUUGACAACAGAAAACUUUGUAGGAAAUACGCUACAGUCAAACACAAAUUAGAGCAUCUUUGACCGAAUGGAAAAAACGAACUUACAAUUGAGGGUCUCGCAGCCUAUAAAACUGAUACAAAUUUAUAAAUACUUUAUAAAUUCAGUCAAAAUUAAACAUUAAUUUUAAAAGGAUUUACUUGUACAUAAAACACGUGCAUAAAGAAUUACAUAAAAUGAUGUAGAGGGAAAAGAUUGGAUGAAAAAGUUGAUUGCGUUUUAAACUGGUAAAUGAUAACGUGACAUGUGACAUUAUGUAACACAUUAUGUAAAUCUUGAUGUAUGUGUAGCAAAAUCCAUUUCAAAAAUAUAUUUAUAACCACUUCUUAUCAUUAUCCACACCUUUCGUGAUAUCGAUCACUAUUCCUCUUUAUAAAUCAUUUAUAAAUUUGUCGAAGGAGACUACCAUGGAAAUCUCUAAUAGAAUUACUUGGUUCUUUUGUUGGCGUGUAAUCUAAACCUAAAUCAGUUGACACUAAAAAAAGAAAUACAUAAACUUUUUUUCCAUUGUUUUUCAAGUUUUCAUGGGAAUGACUCGAAAAAAUAGCCUAUCUUCAUUCUCAUUGAAGCACAUUACAUCCACAUUUCACAAAUUAUAUCUUCUCAUAUUAAUGGGAUCUCCAAUCACGUGUCCUCCAUAGCUAAACACAGAAAUCCAAUUGUUAGCCGUGUAAAAUCAGUCUCAUUUUGACAAAACAAAAAAGAACAGAAAUUUGCCUUGUCGAAUGUUUUGGUUUUGAUCCUCCAAAAUUCAGUUUCGAGAAAAUUAAUAAUGUCUACAUUCACAGGCACUUUGGAUAAAUGCAAGGGUUGUGACAAGACUGUUUAUUUUGUUGAUUUGUUGUCUGCUGAUGGAACAACUUAUCAUAAAUCAUGCUUCAAAUGCUGCCAUUGCAAAGGAACUCUCGUGGUAUAUAUGUAUAUAUAUAUAUAUUCUCUCUUCACCCCAUUAUUUUAACAAUGAUCGUCAUGUAACAUUUUUUUUGUUUGUAGUUUAUAUGAUUUUCACUCAAUUAAAUUUUCGAAAACUUUUGUUUACAUUAGUGCUAUGUAAGUUUUAAUGGGAGGUAGCUUUCUAUACAAUAUUUCAUCAGCUUUUGAAAAUCAUUUUAGCAAAAUAAUUUUAAAAAUUGACGUAAUUGCAUUUCAUAUAGCUAUAAAUGUGUUAAUUUUUUAUACGCCGGGUUUAAAGAGAAGUCAUUUUUAACUAUGGAAUCGUCAUAUAAAAUGUCUACAAAUGUUAUUUUUGUAUUUGAGUCUUUCAGUUAAUUAUAUUAUAAAAAUUUAUGAGGUCUUUUAGUUUCAUCUCGAGUCAUUUAUUGUUCUUAAUACGUAGUUUUGUGAUUUUCCCUUCGUUAACUUUUUUCUUUUUCCCCAAAAAAUAACAGGAUAAACUUAAGUCAAAGCAAAUAGUGAAAUUUAUCAAAAUGUUGUUAUUGUUUUUAUUUCACAAAUCCAAGUCAUUUUGGGUGUGUAAUAUUCAUUUUGCAGAUGAGCAACUACUCCUCCAUGGAUGGAGUCCUAUAUUGCAAGCCACAUUUUGAACAACUUUUCAAGGAGUCUGGAAAUUUUAGCAAAAAUUUUCAAACUUGUGAGAAACCCUAAUAAUCACUAAAUUAUGUAGAACUUUCUUACUAUUAAUUUUACUAUUUUUGCUAAUUAUUCUUUUUUGUUGUUGGACUAUUGUUUAAGCAGCAAAGCAUGAGAGGGAAAAUUCACUGGUACGCUCAUGAAUUAAUUUCUAUUGAAAAUGGUUUGAUGACUAUUUCAAAACUUAAUUUUCAAGUUUAACUUAUUGGAAAAUCCUUUUUAUUUUUUUUUGAGUGUCAACUAAUCCAAACCUUGUUUUACCUCUUGUUUAUAAUCAGUGAAAUCAUUUUUUAUUCACAUAUUUCGUGAAUUCAUAAGUAUUACUCACUAAUUUACCACUAAUUUUUAUUUUUAAUUUAAAAUGACUACAAACAAUUUUUAAAUAUUAUUUCAUCUUUGACAAAAUAGGUUUACACUACUUAGUAUAUGCACUUGGCAAAUAAAGUCAACCUAAUUUCUUCUUCUUCCUUUUUUUUUUUUUUGUUUUUUUUUUUGUUUUUGGUAUUAUUCGUUAUUUAUGCAGACAAGGGCGCCGAGCAAGGUCUCGACCAUGUUCUCUGGAACCCAAGACAAAUGUGCUUCUUGUAACAAAAUUGUGUACCCACUUGAGAAGGUUUGUGACAUUGAUCAUGUACUCAAGAUACAUAUAUCUUAAGCUAUUAAAUAAAAUGAUUAGUCUGCCAUUAUAUAUAGCUUGUAACAUACGCAUUCACCUCCACGAAUAAAUACUCAUAAAAUUGAUAACGAUAAAUUCCUUCAUCUGCAAACUGUAUUUUCUAUCCAUUUUUUUCUUGAAUUUGCACAUACCAAACAGAUGACAAUGGAGGGAGAAUCAUACCACAAGUCAUGCUUCAAGUGUGCCCAUGGUGGCUGUCCACUCACACAUUCAUCAUAUGCUGCUCUUGAUGGAAUUCUAUACUGCAAGCACCAUUUCCAGCAGCUCUUCAUGGAGAAAGGAAACUACCAGCAUAUUAAAUCUGCUCACAAGAGAAGUGGCAGUAAUGUGGAAGCUGUCGAUGCUGACGCUGAGUCAGGGGCAGAGGCCGGGGAGGAGGAGCUGCCAAAGGAGGUUGUGGCAGACACUGAACCAGAGGAAGCUGAUAAAGUAGAAGAACAUUCCUAAGUGCAUGUUUGGUACAUUUCUAAGUGUAUGUUUGGUAGACAAUACUAGGUAGGACAAAGACACAAUAAUAAAUAAGGUGUUAUCUUAUUUUGUUCCUUAAUUUUGUCACUACUGUUAAAUCCUCUGUACCGAACAUGUCAUAAGCACACACGCUAAUAUAUAUAUCAGUUUAGGGUUUCUUACUUUGUUUAUGAGUUUAGAUGAAUUCUAGUGAUUUUUUAAGCUUGUUAAAAAUGUGGUGUAAUUUUGUCUAAACAAAAUAUAUAUUCUGAAACCGUAGGGAAACUAUAGUCCUCAAAAAAUUGAACUGGGCCAUAAGUAUUGUAUUUUGCAAAGCCUGAAACUUCAACUGAGAAUAAAUGAAAGACAAAAUAAAAAUAAAAAAUUUCCUUCAACUAGUCCUCCUAAAGUGCCCCGUCUCAAGGGGAGGGGAGUGGCUGGGGCAACACAGAGCCGGCAGGCCCUGGGAAUCAUGUACUUUUUAGGGUUCAUUGUGGUCAAAAGUAUUAGAACCUUAAAAGGUUAAGAAUUUAGAUGCUAUAAAUGGAAGUUGGAGACCAACUUGAUGCGAUUCUCCUAAAUUGAAAACUUUCUAGAAUUAUUGAUAAAUAUUAACUUAAUUAUACGCUAAUAUUUGCAUGCAAUUGUCUAAAUACUUAUUAAAAGAUUAGGUAGACGUGUAUAGUGGCUCAAUUUUUCUCAAGCUAAAUAGUCAGUUUAGAGUCUAAAAAUUUGAUUAUUGAGCCUUUGGAGAUUGUUUGCCGAAAUGUCACUAAAAACGCAUUGGUAUGCGUAAAGUCAUCAAAUCUAGAUUGUACGUAACCCUCCAUAGAGAAAAAAACAAGUCCAUUAUAAGAAUUUGAGACGUGAAAUAUACAAUACAUACCAACCUUAUAAUACAAGGUCGUGCACAUGAAAAAAAACCGAGUGCACAAACACACAAAAAUACUUUUGUUUGAGAUUAAUUUAAUUAGUUUAAAUUUGCAAUGCAACAUCAAAAUGGAACAACAAACAAUGAUUUCAAACUCCAGUUUUGAUAAUAUCACAAAUAAAUCUCAAACUAACAUGUCCUUCAAUGGAUUUAAGAAGAAAAUCCAUUACCAAUAUCAUGAAUACAUAAAUCUUUAUUCAAUUCAAACCCCAUACAUUUACUUGAGAAAUAUAACAUUUGAAAGGACCAAACUAUUAGAAGUUCGAUACAUUCUGCCGGUAAAAGAACAGUCCAGAUGGGGGCGUGGCCAUCCCAUCCGGCAGCAUUGCCAGCUUCAACAAACUAUCUGCACCCUCUUCAACAGUCAAUGAACCAGUAUUGGCAUUUAUAUCAGUUUUCACAUAUCCAGGACACACGCAGUUGAUGUAGAAAUUAGGGUAUUUUUUGGCAAUAAUUCUUGUAUAGGCAUUAAUGGCAGACUUCGACAAUCUGUAUGCAGGUACAUGUUCCGGCCAGCCAUUGACUUUCAAUGAGUUUUCUUUGAAGUCUUGAAGAAACUUGUUGAGCACAUUAUCUACUUUAUCUUCUGUGAGUUCUUCUGCAUUGCUUAGCACUUGUUUUGCCCAUUCAUUGGACUGAAACUGGAUGUGGGAUCAUGAGAAAUAGCAUAUGUCAGGUUCUUGAAGAGUUGUGUUCUGUUCCAAAAUUCAAGUUUUUAUAAUCCCCUAAAUUAUCUUAGGUUGGCUCACCCUUAAUUACUAAAAGUAAGGUCACUUUAUACAAAAUUUUUAAAAACGCGGUUCUUUUUAAUUUUCUUCACUAUUUUGGUCAUCCGAAAUUCUUUUUCCACAGAAGUAAAUAACUUUUACCUUCAAUAUACCCAUGAGAGAAGACACAUUCACAAUCCUUGGCGUAUCAGACAACCUUAAGAGUGGAAUAAAUGCUUCAAUCAUUCUCUUUGUACCAUAAUAGUUAGUUUGCAAACAUUGUUCUGCCCAUUCAUAUGUCUGAACAAGUUUUCCAUUUGCUGCGAUAUGAGCUUCUUGUGGCUGCAUUAUUGAAGAAAGAAAAUCUGUUAUUGAAAUGAUCCUGCCUUUAAGUUCUAUAAAUUAGUGGUCGACUGCAUAAAUCUCUCUUCACUACUGCGUAAACUACUCAAAGAUCCAAAUGGACUGUACCUUUUAAAACUACAAUGAUCAUGUUAGUUUUGGUUUACCAUUUCCUCUUUUAACCUAUUGUAUUGAUAGCAGCAUAAGAGCCUAUUUAGGUAUAUACAAGACACAUCUCAAACACAUAAUUUGUCAAUUUCUUAACCUGUUAUUCUGUGUAAUAUCAUAACUUUUCUUUAAUUUUACAAAGCAAAUAAAAAAAACAAAAAAUGUCCCGACUGCUUUAGUCUACUAUUUCUUAUCUUAUCUAUUUUACCAUGAUCACACAUGCAUCCAUUAUAACAUCCUCAUUUAGUCAUUUACUUCCUCCAAACAUUCUAGUUUCUAUGAAAACAUGUUAACAUUUUGAAUCAAAAAACUCAAUAGGAAUAACAAUUGAAGUGAUUUCCAUAUUCUAUGAAAAGGUGAUAUAUCUCCCUGCAUACAGACUUUUUCAUGUACGAACAAUUAACUUGUUCGGUAGACUGACUUUAUAGCACUCAACAAUAUAAAGAAAUAGAAAGAAGUUAAAAAUUUCGUCAAUUAUAAUGUCUGAUCGUCUUGUAUUAUGUUUGUCUUAAAGUGUCAUUAGCAGUAAACAUUUUAUUCACAACUAAUAGUAUUCAAUUUCACCUGAAGUUUUCAGUUGAGUGAUGAAAUAAAUAUAGUACAAAGAGUCAAAGACCAACCUUGGUGUCAUCAGGAAUUGAAACUACAUCUGCCUCAAUUAUAUCUUUAAUAACUAAGACAUCUCCCUCUAUACUUACUCCAAUCAUACCAGCAUUAUUCACCUGCAAAAUUUUCAGAUUUUUUAAAAUAACGGUUCAUAAUAAAAAAACUAAUUGUAGGAACAGGCUUUAACUAUCUCAUCUAAAAAUUGAUUAAUAUCAAGUGAGGUGAAGCUAAACCUUUUAUGGCAUUCGGUGAUCAUCAUUUGAGUGAUCAAGUCCACGAGCUUAAAAGCAGCAUUAUUGCUUCCCCACAUUAAUUAAUAAAGAAAGAUGAACAAUUCUUAAUUUUAUAAUAUGAGAAAAAAUCUCAACUAUGUUGAAAUGUAGUUCAGAGUGAACUAUUCUACUACUUAGCUACUCAGGAACAGUAGGUGAUUUCUUAAGCAUGCAUUGGAUCCACAUUGGUUGCAUAAUGAAUAGCUAGAAGUGUUAAAUGAGCUGACUUUGUAGAGGCCCAGCCCGGCCCCUAUUUUAUGGCAGCCAAUUUUGUCCAAAAAAUCGAGGUCAGGAGAUUUUUUCUUUCUUUUUUCUACCAUAAUAUGGGAUGUAACUAAGCUUGUUAUAUAAAAUUUCGCUACUUUUUUGAGGUUGGCUAGAUGAAAACUUUUUUGCUCCUCCAUAUCUUCUCGAAGUCUAAAAACAACAAGUAUAGCCACUUCCGCAGGCUAUGUUACUUUUAAUCUACCUGUCCCUAUUUUGACGUUUUCCCCGAAAUUCUAUCAUCCUUAUAGAAUAGAUUAACCAAUAAACACAAAAAAAUUGGGCCAAAAAAAAUAAAAAAGGACAAAAUUUAGAAAAUAAAAAACAUUGAAAAAAGAAGAAAAAUUCAUACCAAAAUAUCAAGCUUCCCAUAAAUGUUUUUGAUGAAAUUGGCAAGGGAAGCAAUACUAGUUGGAUCCAUUACAUCAAGUUGAUGAAACACAACAUUUUCAGAGAGAGCAAAGCCUUUGAGCUUUUCUAGAGCUUCAUUGCCUCUCUUCUCAUCUCUGGCUGUCAAAACCACAAUGACUCCUUUACAUGCCAACUGCCUACAUAGCUCAAACCCUAUUCCUUUAUUUGCCCCUGUCACAACUGCAUACCUAGAUAAAUAAAAAGAUGAAAACGGUAAGGGCUUGUUAGAUGAACAAUAUCAAGUAUAUCAAAUAAGAUUAGACAAUACGAUAGACAUGAUUUUUUUUAUUUUUUUCCCUUAAUACUAUCUAAUCUUGUUUGGUACUAGGAAUGUCAACGAGUUGAAUCAAACCAACUUGUGAAUCGAAGUAAAAUUAAGACGGAUUUUUUUUGUCCAAGUUGAGCAAAAGCUCGACGAAAAACUCGAGGCUCGACUGAGCUUUCGGCUCGGGCCUUACCGAGUCGAGUAGGCUCAAUUUUUUUUAUAUGACUGGCAACACAUAUUGCCUUUUUAAAGGCACCUCUCUAUUGCCUUUUUUUUUUUAACGAGCCAGCUCGGGGCUCAGCUCGAUACCCAAAAUGAGGGCUCAGGUUGAGCCUCGAGUUGGGCUAGAUCAGGCUUUUUCCCAAUCGAGCCAUGGGCAGCCUGAGCCGCGAGAGCUAAAUUGCCAUCUCUAUCUGGUACUGAGUAUCAAAAUUGCCACACAACCAUUUGGGUAUGAACUCAUUAGUAUUUAUGUUGGGAUGGAAUCUCCAAGAAAGUUACCAAGAUCAAUGGAGCGAGCUCAAGCAAUUUGGGUACUGUAGGAAAAACUCUUACAAUAACUGUUCUAUUAGUUAGUAGAAAGAGGGGAAAAUGUUCUAAAAUUGUGGCCUUGUAUAAAUAUAGGACCUUAGGCAAUGUCUCACCUGCCUAAGGGUUGAGCCCAGAGCCGGUCUUGUGCCGAGGCUAACGAGGCUGCGCUUCAGGCCCAGAAUUCGAAGGGGCCUCAUUUUGGCCAGAGAAGCUUAAUAUUACUCUCUCUUUUAUAUAUAUAUAUAUAUAUAUAUACACACACACACACACACAAACAAAAGACAAGUCACUCCUACCUACUCCACUUCAAAAAUUAUACUGCCAAUUUAACUUUGAACUGCGGUCCAUAAACAUGUUUUUAAUCAAAUGCUUCAUUUUCCAUAAUGGAGACAAGAACUUCAUUGUAAGAUUCUUAUUUUUUAAUUAAAAUUAUAAGAUUAUUAAUUUAUUUUGAAUAUAUUGAGACCAUUAUUGGUGAACAGGAUUUGACAUUUUUUUAACUUUUUUGAAGGAUUUAACAAGAUACGGUCUUACCAUAAUGUUUAAUGUAUAUUAAGUCUUCAUUGCAUACAUUGUAUGAAGUCUUCCAUCAACAUUGUAAAUUUUGCACACGUUUGGUGUAUCUAAAAAAGUUAAUAAAAAUUAACAAUUUAUUUUAACUAUAUAUUCAUGAGACCCGUAGUUUUUAUCAACUUUUCAACCACAUAUUUAGUCAAGUUUUAUCAAAAUCUAAAUUUAGUUUAAGUCAGUGGCUCCUAAUUCGUCUUUUACAGAUACGAAUCACUAAAUCAGAGUUUAGUGUGUCCAGACUCAUAAAAAAAAAUUAGUCAGUUCUUACUUUUCCGCCUUACUAAGAAUUCAUACCAAAAUAUCAAGCUUCCUAUAAAUGUUUGUUAUGAAAUUGGCAAGGGAAGCAAUACUAGUUGGAUCCAUCACAUCAAGUUGAUGAAACACAACAUUCUCAGAGAGACCAAAGCCUUUGAGCUUUUCUAAAUCUUCAUUUCCUCUCUUGUCAUCUAUGUAUUCAGUAGUACUGCUGUUGGGACAAAAUCUCCAAGAAAGGUACCAAGAUCAACGGAGUGAGAUCAAGCAAUUUGGGUACUUGGGAAAAAAACUCUGAUGAUACCUUUCUAUUAAUAAGUAGAAAGUGUAAAGAAAUAAAACUAGUAUCAAAGCCUCUAAAAUUUGUGGCCUUAUAUAAUAUAGGAUUUGAGGCAAUGUCUCACCUGCCUAAGGGUUGAGCCACCUUUAAAUCAGGAUGUGAAGAUGAGUUCAAGAAAACAAAGGGUUCGCAGCCUAAACUUUCGACAUCAUGGAUAAUUUUCUUUUCUAAUACAUGGAUUUUAUUUUCAUUAAUCCAUAUAUACUUGGAACAAUGAAAUACUAUUACUUCUCCUCCAAGAGGUAAAUGAUUGAUUACAAAUGUCUAUUAUAUAUCUUCUCUAUAGAGAGAACAAAAUUGGAGUGCAUACCAAUACCUAAUAUGGGCAAAAAAAUAGAUCAGAAGAAGUAACUCUCAGAUCAAUAAUAAUAAUAAUAAUAAUAAUAAUAAUAAUAAUAAUAAUAAUAAAGGAUUUUGGAGUGGUUUGACUGACCAAACUACGGUGGAAUAUUUUCAAGAUGUUAAUGAAUAAAACAUAUUUCUAUUUAUCGACAACAUCUUCCAGUUCAUAGCUACAUCAGGCUUAGUAACUUGAUUGAAAGCAAGUUAAUUUACCUGUUUGACGACUGAUUGUUCAUUGUUUCUGCACUUUCACUCCUCUUCUGCUCAGUUUGAAGAUUAGUACUAAAUAUAUAUUAAUAUAGACAAAAGGCAAGUAACUUCCACCUAGCUACUCCAUUUCAAACAUAUACUGCCAAAUCAACUUUUAGUUGUGGUCCAUAAACGUGUUUCUACUCAAGCGUUUUUAUAAGACCAUUAUUGGUGCACGGUAUUUGACAUUUUUUAAGAAGAAUUAAUUUCUUUUCCUUCUUUCUGAAAGAAGGAUUUAACAAUAUUAAAUUAGAAACACUUUUUCAUAAAUUCUAUCCUAAAUUUGAGCAUAUCUGAUAGUUAUAAGUACUUAUAAGUUGUGGAUUGGAUAGUAAAUCGAGAAUCCUUUGAAAUCAAGAAAAAAUAUAUAAUAAAAUGAUAUUAUAUGCCCAUGCGAUAAGACUAACAAUUUAAAUAGUGCCACCUCAUACCUUGUAUGAUUCAAAUUAUGACAUCUCCUCAUCCAAAGUAGUAAGAGAAAUAAAUGAAGUAGACCUCAUAUGCCAAUGUAUCAUGACUUAAAUGGUUCAGGUCUAAGGUGUCAUGAUCAACUAAACAGUCUUACCAUGUGCCUACGGGACCAUCCUCUUCAAAAUGCAUAAAUAAAAACUAAAAGUUUGACCGGUUCAAAUUAUAAUUUAAGCCUUGUAAAAUAUGCACUAUUUUUAUAUAGGAUUUUGCUAUGUAGAAACUUGGGCAAAAGUGCCCUCACAAUAGGGGGCUAGCAAUUUUUUAUUGAGCGUGAGCCCCCUAUUGUGAGGGGGGACACCAAGAUGUCAAUUCCAAUGUACAAAUAGCAAAUCUCUUUUAUAUUAUUUUUGGAAUUUUUCUUUUGCAGUUAGAGGAAUCCAAAAACAGCUACCAUCCUUGACUCGCAAACUCUAUGGGGCCUAUCAACUUGGGUUCCAAGUUGUAAAAGAGCUAAAGAGGCACAAAGAACUUCAAAUAGAGUAGUUAAACUAGAAUCAAAUUUUAUUACCACUCAAAAGUGGAGCUUGGUUCAACAAGUGCUUGUUUGAAUCAGAUCUGUAUGGUCUAGGCUGGUUUCACAAUAGUACUUUGAACUUGGUAACAAUCAAUAAUCCUGAUGAUAUUGAUGUACAAACUAAAAUUCAAGAAGAAGCCCAACAGAAGAUGAUGGAAGCACUUCUUAAUUCCAAGGAUUCGGAUUCGGAUUUCCAAUUCAAAACACACAAGGAGGGGGGGGGGGGGGGGCANNNNNACAUCUCAAAAAAAAAAAAACAGAGGGGGGGGGGGGGGGGGGGGGGGAGCCUAGUGUUUGUCACAGAAGUUUGCUCCAAAGAUCUUCUAAACGAUAUUUUCUUGGCUCAGUUUCACGUUACCUUUCUCCACCGAACAACCAAUCCAAAACCAAUAUUUAUUUCGAUUGCUUUUCAAUUUCACCCAUAAAGUAGAAAAUAAUGAUUUUGACUUGUAGCCAUGGAGGCAAGAAGAAAAACCAAUGAAAAAGGCACAAGAGGAGAUCAAAAACACAAAGAAGCCACCGAUUUUUGGAAGCACAAAGCAGCCAUAUUUUUCCGGUCAAUUGGCAGCCAAGUUUUUCACUUUUCACACACAAAUCACUCAAAUGAAUGGCUAGGUCAAAGUAGGAGUGGGCAUUUUUUCCCGGAACCAGUGGAACCGGACCGGAACAGUUUAGAACCGGCCGGUUCGGUUCCGGAUCUUCUAAAAAAUAAUUUGGUUUCGGGAAAAAUUAUUAAAAACCGAUCGGUUCCAGUCCGGUUCUUGGUUCUAGUAUGGGAACCGCGGAGAAUCGAAUGGUUCUCAUAGAAUUUUUUUUAGUGGGCAUUUUUUCUUUUUUGGUAAAAUAUAAGACUUACUCUCAAAUUUGUCCCGAAACCAAAUUGGUAAUAUAUAUGACUUACUCUUAAAGUGAAAAGAAACUUCCAUCAAGGUAAAACAAAAUUAAAAAAAAAAAUUGUAGUAUAACAACAUAAGCAAAAGGCAGUGACAUAUGGAAAUGAAACAAAUGUUUAUGUAUAUAGUUCACAUAUCACUUUUUAAUUAAAUAAUUGAGAAAAAUACUGAAUUGUGAUUACCUGAAGGCUCAAGAAAAUGUUAAAAAGGGAUCCUUCAGUUGGCAUUUUUUUCAGUAAAAUAUAUGACUUACUCUCCAAGCACUUUUAUUUUGUUUUCAUUUUGAUGAAAGUUUGUUUAAUCAUUGAAGUACUAGACGGUUUAUAUAAGUUAAUAUUUGUUUGAUAAUAGUAACUUAUAUUAUUUGCAUAUUAUUUUAAAAUUUAUAUACUUAGUUUUCUAUUAAUCUUUGUAUAAUAUGUUCGGCUCUUCUAUAUUUUUUUUAAAGUAUCACAUUGAAAGUUUCUUUAGAUUUUUUAUUAGUAAACAUUUUAUUUUGACAUCUUUAUGUAAAGAACCGGACCGGACCGGACCGGAACCGAUUGGUUCGGUUUCGGUUCGGUUCCAUAGCUAACAAUGGAACCAAUGGUUCCAUUUCUAAAAUUCUCAUUGGUAUUCGGUUCGGUUCGAUUCCUUUUAGAACUGGACCAAAUCGGACCGCGCCCACUCCUAGGCCAAAGCUACAUAUUUGGGAAUAGGUUAGACUUUAAUUGGAUCAAUAAAAGGGUAAAAUGAGCCAAGAUCAAAAGCCAUCCAAUAAGUAAAUAUAUAUGGGCCAUAAGCAGUGUUAAUUUCUUAAACUACUUUCAACUAUCAACGUUGUUUUCUAAUCGAGCCUUUAGACUUGAUUGUUGGUAAUCAAUUCAUUAUUGGCCGAGGCUUGUGAAACUAUAUUUCGAUGUUUACAUCAUAACCCAAGAUUUAUUGGAUAUAAAAAAUUCAACAGUGUUGCCCGGCAUAAUGUGCCAUUAAUAAACAAUGUGGACGCGGAGAGGCAAAGAAGAGACACUACUAGAAAGGGAGGCAAUAGAGACGAAAUUUUAGCAACAAACAUCUUCCGUAGCUACUACCAACGGAUUAAUAACAAAUUCGCAACGAGUCAUUAUUUUAUCAUUUUUAAAAAUUAUCUAUUAAAUUAUUGACAAAAUUACCAAUGAAAGUCUUCCGUUGGUAAAAUUACGUUGCUAAUCCGUUGGUAAAAAUAUAAAAAAAUAAAAUAAAAUAAAAUAAUUUAUCAACGAAUUGUCCAACGGAUGAUUCCGUUGGAAACUAUAUAUAACAGACUAAAAUAAUUACCAAUAGAAAAAUUAAAUCCUAUAUCUAUUUACCCUUCUCUUAGAGGGGCUUUGAAAAAAAUUGUUGCUAUUUAGAUGAGGACCAAAUGAAACAUUCUGUUCACCGCCAAUAAGAACCCUUGCUCCUCAAAACUCCCCCCUCUCUCGACCACCGAAGAAAACCCUACCUCACUCAGAUUUUGAAACCGAAACCCGACCCGUCGAAGGAGAGAUCCGCCUGAAGCACACCAUUCUGUCCUAACGAGGCACUGAGUUUGUAUCAAAACAUUAUACGAGCUACCGACUUCUUCAUGUGGCCGAAAUCUCCAGGUGUCCUCUGGCGCGAUGUAUUGACAGAGAAUGCUCGAAAGGAGUUCGAAGACGCCCGAUUUGAGAAGGAUCUGGAAAUUGUCGCUCCUCUGAUGUUUGGAGGGCCGGAUGUCUGCAGUCAGCUGUUGAUAAGCUUGUCAAGAAGCAAAAGCAGCAAAUUUAGGAUGAAAGCAAUGAAUCAAAUCGACGUUGAAGUUUUUUGGUAAUAAUUGAAUUAAAUUUUGAUUAUUUUGUUGAUUAAUUUUAGUGUCGAUUGAUUUUAUAUUCUUUACCUUAUUUUAUCUGAAAAUAUAGAUGCAGUCAUUUGUAAUAUUUUAGUUGUGAAAAUUUAAGCCUUAUGCGAGAACGGUGGGAGUCCGGUUACAGAAUUGGGGAUUUUUUGGAAGAAUCAUUUUUUAUUUUUUACUUUUUUUAUUUGGUUUGUAAAUUUGAUAUUCUGUGCUAGUUGCUAUUCUAAAAUUUGCUCUGUUAUUUGCAUUUAUAUAUUUGUUCUCAUUGUCCUGAUCAUUUCUUAAGGGAUGAAUACUGUCCCACUUGUAGAAUAAGGAUAUAUUUGUGUUCGAUUAGAACAUCACAACUUAAUUAUGUAUUUGCUAGGCUUGGAAAUCUUGGGUUUUCCAAGCAUUUUUCAGACUUGUCGUUUCCUUCUCAAUGGUACAUACAUUUUUGGAAGUCCUGCUGCUAAUGAUUGACUGAAUUUGGAGGAUGAAAAAUCUGUCACUACCAGUGAUCUUUGAUAUACCGAUGUGUAGUUCGAGAGAAUGUAUUUAUAGCAUUAUAUAAACGCCUUUAUGUAUACAUAUGAAUUUAAUUCUUGUUUAUUAUAUAUAUGUUAUGGAAUAUGGAUGGAUCAUGCCAGAAUGGUAGUGUGGAUUUAUUCUUGCGAAACUAAAAUCUUGGGAAGACUCUUGGCAUCAGUUCAUUUUGUAAAGUUCAAAUUGCCGAACAUACAUUGACAGGGCACGGAGUUGCUGUCAAGAUCCUUAAUAAUACAUAAGAAACUGCUGCAACUUUAAGCUGUUGGUUCAAUGCUUUAGAAGGAGAGAAUUAUUCUUGAUGUCGUGUAGAUUUUACACCUUAAUGGAUGGAAGUUGAAUGCCCCAAAGGUAUCUCAGGUACAGUAAUCUGAGACAUGAGUGGACGAAGAGAGGAAUUUCAUUAAGGUUCAUUCACCAGAAUCAUUAACAUUCACUCACCAUUUGGUUGGUCCUUAGGGAUUGGCAAAACUCAGGUAAUAAUAAUGUUGGCUUCCAUGUCUGCAUAUGUUUAUUUUAUAUAUUAUUGACAACUAUUUUUCUCAAAAUUUAUUCUUAUCCUGUUUGCUGUAAGUUUCCCUAAUCCCUAGGUCCAUCAGUAGAAUGAUUGUAUUUUGAUUUUAUACAUUAGUUUUUGCUGGAGUUGCAUUCCACUUAAACUCAGAUAAAAUAUAUUCGUGGGGUUAUUGGUUUGGAAGGAUCAGUUUUUUGUUGUCCAAUCCUUCAUAAUAGAUUAUUGUGCAUUAAGCAAAUGAUGAGCUGGCAACAUAGGAAAAAUUUGAUGCCUUCAUCUUACUUUCUCAGAUCAGAUGAAGAACUAGAGAAACGAGAAAUUUAGGCCGUCUCGAGCAAGAUUUCUUUGAUAGGUUACUUUUAAGGCUGCUUAUCUUUACGUUGUCGAAUUACUUAUGAAUGUUACUGUCAGUUCAAUGUCAAACCUGCUCCAUGUUUCUACUGUAGGGAUUUGGAUGAUCAAUUUUUAGGCAGUUUUACGUAUCAAAAAAAAACUUCUUAGGCAGUUUUACCGUUCAAAAUUGGUUGUUGUGUAUUUGAGCUCAUAAUGACUUGGCAGCAUUGGACAACUUUGAUGCAUUCUCCUUACUUCUUUGAAUCAGAUGAAGAACUAGAGAAGCAAGAAAUUCUGGUCAUCCCAAUUAAAUACACCCCUACCUUACGGUGAUAAAACUAUAAUCCAUCUCCUUUGCAUCACAUUUUGUAGAAAGACCACCAUCCUAGUUCAGUCCCUUUUCUAUAUAAUUCUAAUAAUAUAUGUCUCAUGUUGAUGUUAUAAAGUUUUUUGAUGAUGAUUAAAAGAAACUUGAAAGUUUUUUUUAUCAAUAUCCGCUUCUCCAAUUCCUGCCACCAGUCUAGGUCAAGUGUACAAAGCUCGGUUGAAGUACUCUGGCCAGGUUGUUGCUGUGAAGGUGCAAAGACUUGGUAUUGAAGAAGAUUUAGGGCUGGACUUUUAUCUUACAAGAGGUUUAGGUUUCCUUAUAUAUAAGCCCUUGUUUGAUCCCCAUUCUUUGGAAAAAAUGAAUUCUUCAACAGUGUUUUGAUAUAAUUUUAACCAUACAUUUUUCAAUAAAAUAAUAUUACAAGCAAAUUCCAAACGUUUUAUUAUUUUUUAACCACACAUUUCACAUCAAUACACUAUUCAAAAAUUCAUUUUUCCCUUCAAUAUGAAAUUAUCUUCUUUAAAAUUAUGUGCACAAUAAUUGUAUAAAUAUUGUGACUUGUUUUACCUCAAAAGAUGAAAAAUAAGUUAGACAUAGUGUUAAUCAUCAUAGAGUCCAAUAGGGCAUAUAAAUACUUUCAUAUUUACUGGACUUCAACAAUUAAAAAUUGGGUUUAUUUAUUUACUUAAACUAUGUCUUUGAUGCAUUCCAUCACAUGCAAAUAAGAGGUGUUUUUUUUGUUUUUGUUUUUUUUAAUAAACCACAUUACUGUAUUUUAUUAAUAUAACGGCGAAAAAAGAUAGUACGAUUGGUAGAAGGAUAUUAACCAAAGAUCCAACAAAAGAAGAGAAAAGAUUUCCAUUCGGAGACGGAAAUAAAAUGAAACAUAAUAAGUAAGUCAAUGAAACUCAUGAGGGUGCAUCCCUAGUGUAGUUAUCAUAGAUCCUGUCUUCAUAGACAGAGGAGAUAUAGAAAGUGUAUCGUGCACGAUUCAUAAGAUUCUAUAGUAUAUUAUUUCAUGUAACCUGCCUCUCCCAUGACUUUUCGGACCAACCAACCAAGUCUUGUGCAAUACGUCUAUGUCAUAAUCAUUAUAAUGCUCUAGGUCACUAGCAGAGUGGAGGGCUCGCGUCUAGGGAAAGGGGCCAUUAGAUGGCAAGUGGAAAGGUGACUACGACAUAUCGCGUCUGGCUGAAUUUGCAAGCAAAUUUGUAUGCGCAUUGAGAAGCAGAAUUCUAUUAACUUCGAUAUUUGCUGUACAAUCACCUAAGGACAUAUCGUCAUGUCACUAAAAAUGUCUGAAAACCUUGUCUAUAGAGAUUUGGGACUCGAGAUGGUAGGCUCAAGUGAUGAGGACUUUUCAGACUGUUUAGAAUAGAUACCAAAUCAUUAAGAGCAAAUCGAAGGUAGGUUUCACCUUCAUUCGAUGUUGAAUUAAUCGAUUAGUGUAUGCUUGAGACCAACCUUUUCACCACCAGUAGUGUCCAUAAUAUCCUUGUCAAAGUAAUUUUAUAUGUUAAAUACAGACAAUUUUACACAUUGGUGAAUGUGGAACCCGAACUCAAAUUUUUUGCAUACUUUAAUGUCAUAUUGAAUUCUUUGACAAGAUUAAACUUUUAAACAAAUAGAUAUGCAAUUAUUUAUUUAUUUAAAUUAAAUCAUCAACAAACAUAUGGAAAUUAUUUUCCUAUCAUUGAUUGUUACUAUGUUGUUGUCUUGAAAUAUACGGUGGCCCAACUAAAAUGUUUGUUUUUUGGAUUGAUAGAGAAACAUCAGUCACUUGGCUCAUUCCGAUGACAGUCCUCGUAACCAUAGUUUUGGAAGAAGUGAUAGAGACAAGACACCUUUUUUAGCUUCGCACGAUGGUCGUGUUUUGUAAAUAUAAGUGAUUAAAUUUAUCAAUUUUGUUCAAUUCAAUAUUCGAAGCAUUUAUAAGUUUGAUAUCAUGUAUCCUCGAGUUGGCAUAGAAUUUUUCUCCACUAUGCAUUGAGAAAAAAACAAGUGAAGAGUUUGAUAGGAAUUUAAUUAUAAAUUUAGAUAUUUUUCAAUCAGUAAUUAUUGUUUAGUCAAAAAAAUUGAAGUUGAAACUUAAUAUUGAUUAGUGAACUGAUUCUUCUCAAGACGAUUUUGUCAAAUCACAUAAAUUUGUAUAUUUUUUUCUAUUAAAUUUUAUUCCAAUUAUAAUGUAGCAAUAAUAAAAUUCCUAUUUCUAUGAUACUAACAUGUGUAUUUUGUCAUGAAAAGAGAGCGUCUUAAGUAGGCUUUGGCACAUUCUCUUAGUAAACUAGCUAUCUGAACAAGUGUGUGUGAUAUGCUACUCCAUAUUAACCUCCUGAAUGGCGAUUUUUAUAACUAGACACUUUGAUUAAACAAUUAAUUUUCUUCUAUAAAUUUGUGUUCUCUUUCUUAGUUUUCCUUUUGUGCAUAUUAUCCAGUGUCGGCUGUUUUCUUGACAAUUUAUUAACAAAAAAAAAAAAAAAUUGACAAAUAACUACACAACAAUAUUUUUCUAAAAAAAUUGUAUUUUCUAAAAUUAAAACCAAUAUUUCUGAUAUUACAACAAAUCUCUACUAAACCUUGCAUCCUGCACUCAUCAUUAAUCUAAAAUCUUCAAAAUUUACAAAUCCAUCACCAUCUUUAUCUACCCCUUUGAUCAUUGAAUGACAGUCUCUAAGACUGCAUUUUCCACAUCCAAGACAUUUAAAAACCCUCUGCAAAUCUUCAGCAGAAAUUAAUCCAUUUUUAUCAGCAUCAAAUACACCAAAAGCUCCCAUUAUAUCAAUCCCAAUAGCAUCAUUAUCAAGUUCCAUGGCAUUCAAGAAUUCUUGUAAAUCAACAAAACCAUCUCCAUUAUUAUCCAUCUCUCUUACCAUUCCUUCGGCUUCUUUGUUGGCGAUUUUCUUGUCAUUUCCGAAGUUGAGCAGCACGUCUUCUAGCUCGAAACUUGAUAUGUUCCGGAUCCAAGAAGAAACCCUAAUCUCAUUAAGAUUUCAGAUGAUGAAAAUUAUAAUAUAAGAAUUAGCAAUGAAUAUAGAAAUAAAAGUAAAAAUAAGAAAUUUGUUGUAAAUGGUAAGUUUAUUGGUGAAUUGACAAUUGUAAUUCUAUAACCUUAAAAAUUAUUAUCAUUAUAUCCUUAAUCAUUCUCUAUAAAUAUGUUGCUUUGGUUAUCCAUAAAACACAUACAAGUCUAUUGACUCAUAUUUUCUCUUAUCUUUUUCUCUUUUUUUUUGUAACACGUUAUUAUCACGAAAACUUAAUUCUUCAAAAUCUAGUCAAAUAGUUGUUCAUAGGACAAAUAGGUAGGCCACUCCCUUCGUCGUCUUCAUGUAAAGCAAGGAAAAAGAAUUCCUAGGGCUAAACAAUGAGAUGCAAUUCACAUCAUGAAUGUGCAAAAAAUGUUGUUCAUCGGAGUCAAAUAUGUAAGUGACUCCCUCACCCUUAUGCAUAAUGGGGGAAAAAACCCAAAUUUUUGAAUACUCUUAAAGUCGUGACCCAACAGGCAAAACAUUAUUGCACGACUCUCCAUAAAUGGAUAUUGUGAGAAAGUAAGGAUGCGUUUGGUUUAAAAUUUUUAGAAAUUAUUUUAUGACAUUUAUUCAAUUAAUUUGAUUAUUUAGUAAAUCAUAAUAAUUUUAUACUAAUAUAUUACUAGAUAAUAUAUAUUUUAAACUUGGUGAAUUUUACUAGUGAAAUCUUGAAAAAGUGCAUAUAAUAGAUAUAAAACAAAUUCAACAUUAACUCCAUACAACCUUUCUCAUGAAUUUCAGAAUGUUUUAGAAUUUUUUAAAUAAAUGUUUUUAUAAUUAAAAUUUUACCUUCUAUAAUCCAAGAUAUACAAAAUGAGACUUAACAUGUCCUUGACUUGACGGGCCAUGUGCCUUAGGAUAUUCAAAAAAAUAUGACACCAUCUGGCGUGUCACAUACAUGCCCCAUCGCAUUCAAGUCGUAUCUUUGUUUAAAAUGCAUUGUACACUGCAACCUACCCUAGGGAGCUUUAGUGCUUCACAACCAUCUGCUGAUCGGCCAUUAACAUAUAUUUGGAUUCUUAACAGCAAAAAAUAGAAGUGCGUGUCUUUAUUUCUCUUGAAAUCAUUUAUUAAUCCAUUCAUAGAAGAGUCGUUGUCUUGAUACUCAGUACUGUAGUCAUUUUCAAGCCAUUGCUACAAUACAUGCAAGCCCUGGAUCCUGUACAGUGGUUUAGAGAUAAUUUUCCUUUUCAAACAUAUAUCAAAAUUUGCCUUGACAAAGUGCUUCGUCAUGCACACUGGCAAUCUUCCUAGUGUUCCAUCACAAAAAUCAAUUUAAGUUCAAAAUUGAAUCAUCCAUUCCUAGUCCAUUUUACAAUAUUCAGAACAAUGCUGAGAACAUCACAACAGCACGACAGCAUACAAUGAUCUCUAAUUAAAUAUUAAAAAAUAAUUUUUUAAUUAUAUCGUUGAGAAAAUGUCGUUGAUUCCAAAAACAAAGUGGAGGAUCGAUAAUUAUAUCAUUGAGAAAACUACAUAAAGAUAAUUAUAUCUUUUGAGAUCAUUAAUUGGAGGUCGCCAACUUAGAUCACAGGCUUUCUUGAUAAUGAUAGCCAUUGACCCCUGUCCACUUAUAUCUUUUUGUAUAUAAAUCGCCUAAAUUUUGAGCCAACUUUAGAUCAGGUGUGUAAAGAUGAGAAAAUUAAUAGUUCUCAAUCUAAACUAAUUCCAACGAAAGAUUAACACAGCCAUCAUGGAAAAUUUUCUUUUCUACUACAGUCUAACACUCUUUUUCACUACGAUUAUGAAAACUAAAAUAUGGCUAAAUAAUUUAAUUGAAAGCAAGUUAUAAAUUUACCUAUUUGAUGACUGGUUGCUCAUUGUUUCUGCACUUUCACUCUUCUCUCUGCUCAUUUUGAAGCUUAAUGUUACUCUCUCUCUCUCUCUCUCUCUCUCUCUAUAUAUAUAUAUAUAUAUAAAAGACAAGUCACUCCUACCUAGUCCACUUCAAAAAUUAUACUGCCAAAUUAACUUUGAAGUGCGGUCCAGAAACAUGUUUUUAAUCAAAUGCUCUACAGUCUCCACAUUUUUUUCCAUAAUGGAGACAAGUACUUCAUUGUAAGAUUCUUAUUUUUUAAUUAACAUUAUAAGAUUAUUGGUUUAUUUUGAAUAUAAUGAGACCAUUAUUGGUGAACAGGAUUUGACAUUUUUUAACUUUUAUGAAGGAUUUAACAAGAUACAGUCUUACAAUAAUGUUUAAUGUGUAUUAAGUCUUCAUUGCAUACAUUAUAUGAAGUCUUCCGUUAACUUUGUAAAUUUUGCACAUGUUUUAAUCAUAUAUUUAUGAGACCCAUAAUUUUUAUCAACUUUUCAACCUCAUAUUUCAUCAAAUUUUAUCAAAAUCUAGAUUUUUUUUGUUAAAAAAUUCAGGAAAUUGAGAGAGUCAUGACUUUAUUACAGCUCUAAAGAACCUUCUUUCUGAUAAAAACAGCAACUUUGCUUGGUUUACAUCCCCUCAGCCCCUCAUCAUGUGAGGGGCUGUACACCAUGUAGAAGAUGGAGAUAUCAAUUGGUACACGAUAGUUUCUCUGCGCAUGAUAAAAUAUCUUUUCCAUUGCAUUAGUGUCCUCAUUGCAGCCUCAAUUUUAUUUUUAUUUUUUUUUCAUUUAUAGAUGAUGGAUCUCUUAUUUUCGGUGGAAAUUAAUUUGAUUUUCUUCAAUUAUAAUUUAUGAAAGUAAUGUGAGUGCUUUACGGUUGUUAGUCUUUUUUAUUUAACAAGUAGUGAGCACAUGCGUUGCACGUCUUAUAUAUCGGAUAAAUGAUAUGCAUAAUCUUGUUAAAACACUAAAAUUAUUUGAGAAAGUACUAAUACUAUCUUAAUUAAUAAUUUUUCUAAAUUUAUAAGAGAUUUAUAAAUUUUUUGAAUUGUCUGAGCAAGAAUUGUUGUAUUUAAUAUAUAAAUUUGCAAUUUUGUAUCACAUACCUCGAGAUAGCCCAUUUCAAUUUUCCUCUAUUGCUUCGACAUUCAUGAUGUAAUUCCUCAAUUUCGUAUGUUUAGACAAUAUUCUUGUUACCAUCUUCGAGUGAAAAGACCCACAAAAUCUAUAAAAAUAUACGACAAAUUAUGAAGAAAAAUGAUAAUACACUUUAUUUCGUCAAUUUUGUAGCUUUCAAGCCUUGCUCUAUACACCAAGCUACACAUCACCACUACUAAUAACUUAAUAAACAUUCAAUUUUAAGAAAUCAUUUAACAUUUACACGAAUGAUGAUAGAAAUCUAAAAUAUAGAAUGAAAUUACAAAUCAAAACAUAUAAAGAUUUGAACAAAAAAAAAAAGAUUUAUUAAUUUAACGUAACAAAAUUCACAUCUGAUUAGUUUGAAUAUAAAUAUGCCAAAUCAAAUUUAGAUAGUAAAGUAUGUAUAAAUGUGAAUAUUAGAGUACAAAAAUCAAGAGGGCACAUAGAAUUAAUACAAAAAGGAUAUUCAAGAAGCUCACGAACAUUGUUGGCUGGAUUAAUCACAAUUCCAUGGAAGAAGACUUGUGGUUCACCAAUUAGAAUGUGGGUUUCAUGAUCGUGGAAAUUAAAGUUUAAGAUAAUUGAAUUAACGCUAUUAAUCAAAUUAAAAAAUAUAUUAUCUUUAAUUUCUAUAAAUGGUUAUUUAAGGUCAUCCUUUGAGCUCCUUAAACAAUAUCAUUUUUCUUUAAUUUUAUUUUGAAUUAUAUAUAUAUAUAUAUAUAUAUAUAUAUAUAUAUUUUUUUUUAUUUUAUUUUUUAUUUAUUUAUUUAUUUAUUUUUAUCUUGAAAGGGGAAUUUGAGGCCAUUAUUUGAGUUCCUUAAAUAACACCUAUUUUUUAAUUUCAUGUUGAAUAAAUUGAAUUAAUACCAUUUAUAAAAAUUAAUGUAAGAUUUAAAAAAUUAAUUUAGAAAAUUAUUAACCUACUUGGUAUAUGCACUUGGCAUAUAAAUCAACCUAACUUCUUCUUACGGUUCAUUGUGGUCAAAAGUAUUAGAAUCUUAAAAGGUUAAGAAUUUAGAUGCUAUAAAUGGAAGUUGGAGACCAACUUGAUGCGAUGCUCCUAAGUUGAAAACUUUCUAGAAUUAUUGAUAUAUAUUUAUUUAACUUAAUUAUGACCUAAUAUUUGCAUGCAAUUGUCUAAAUAAUUAUUAAAAGAUUAGGUAGACGUGUAUAGCGGAUCAAUUUUUCUCAAGCUAAACAGUCAGCUUAGAGUCUGAAAAUUUGAUUUUUGAGCCUUUGGAGAUUGCUUACCGAAAUGUCACUAAAAAAGCAUUGGUAUACGUAAACUCAUCAAAUCUAGAUUGUACGUAACCCUCCAUAGAGAAAAGACAAGUCCAUUAUAAGAAUUUGAGAAGUGAAAUAUACAAUACAUACCAACCUUGUAAUACAAGGUAGUGCACAUGAAAAAAACAAACACAAACACACAAAAAUGCUUUUGUUUGAGAUUAAUUUAAUUAGUUAAAAUUUGCAAUGGAACAACAAACAACGAUUUCAAACUCCAGUUUUUAUAUCAUCACAAAGAAAUCUCAAAUUAACAUGUCCUUCACUCCUUCAAUGGAUUUAAGAAGAAAACCCAUUAUCAGUAUCAUGAAUACAUAAAUCUUUAUUCAAUUCAAACCCCAUACAGUUACUUGAGAAAUAUAACAAUUGAACGGACCAAACUAUCAGAAGGCCGAUACAUUCUGCCGGUAAAAGAACAGUCCAGAUGGGGGCGCGGCCCACCCAUCCGACAGCAUUGCCAGCUUCAACAGACUAUCUGCACCCUCUUCAACAGUCAAUGAACCAGUAUUGGCAGUCAUAUCAGUUUUCACAUAUCCAGGACACACGCAGUUGAUGUAGAAAUCAGGGUAUUUUUUAGCAAUAAUCCUUGUAUAGGCAUUAAUGGCAGACUUCGACAAUCUGUAUGCAGGUACAUGUUCUGGCCAGCCAUUAACUUUUAAUGAGUUUUCUUUGAAGUCUUGAAGAAACUUGUUGAGCACAUUAUCUACCUUAUCUUCUGUGAGUUCUUCUGCAUUGCUUAGCACUUGUUUUGCCCAUUCAUUGGACUGAAACUGGAUUUGGGAUCAUGAGAAAUAGAAUAUGUCAGGUCAGGGGAGAAUCUAAGAGUUUGAGUUAGCACGGGCGACUGUUGACUGUCUACCGUUGACCGCAAUAAAAUAUUAAGGGCAUGUUUGAGCCACAUUAUUCCAAAAAAAUAUAUUCUUAAACAGUGAUUUGACAUCAUUUCAACUAUACAUUUUUCAAUAAAAUAAUAUUACACGCAAAUAAAAAAUUUUUCUUAUUUUUUAACCACACAUUUUCCGUCAAUACAAUAUUCAAGAAUGCAUUAUUAUCAAAAUAAUGUGGCUCAAACACCUCCUUAGAGUUCGUUUGAUAUAAAUUUUUUGCCAAAAAAAAAAGAUUUUGUAAUAGUGAUUUGAUGGAGAAUGUGUGGCUAAAAAACAAAAAAAAAAAAAAAAAGAUUUUGUAAUAGUGAUUUGAUGGAGAAUGUGUGGCUAAAAAAAAAUUUGAAUCUUUAUGUAAUAUCAUUUUAUUGAAGAAUAUGUAGCUGAAAAGAAGAGAUAAAAAAUGGAAUUUGAAAAAAAAAAGGAAUCAAAUAAGGCCUAAAGUUUAAAUUUUAACAAUUAUUUUGUUCAAAUUGAACAUAUGUAAUUAUUUUUUUAUUUUUUUUAAACAGAUACCUCCAAGUUUUAUAGAUCAACCCUCACGUAUGGCGGAGGAAUACCGUGAAAACAAGUUCACAUCGCAAAUUGUCAACCAUAAAUACUAAAUUAUUAAUAAAUUCGUACAUAUGGAAAAUGAUUCCUAUUUGAUGUAAUCAAGUUGAUGACUGCCCCAGGAAGAUCAACCAUAUCAUGAAAAACUGCCGUGUUACCACUUACCCCAAUUUUAGGUAAAGCGAACAUAUGUAUGCAAUUAUGUUAUAAGAAUAAACGGACUCAUCUAAUGACAUUGUUGCCAAGCUUUGUAUAUUUUAAAGGAAGAGCACGGAUUCAAAUCUUUAUAAUUGCACUCGCAUUACAAUAGAUAGAACCUAACAAAUAUUAUUUUGUUAAACUUAUUGCCAAUAAUCAAUGGGUGAGAUAGCGGUGAAGUUUAUACCAUAUCUAACAAAAGGGCACAAGUUCGAAUUUUUUGUUUGGUCCCCCACUCUCUUGAAUUUUGGCAAAAAUUGUUGUAUUUAAGUAUUAUUGCGCAAUAGUUUGUUGGUAAAAAAAUUCGAACCCGGGACCUCCACUAUAUACAUUCAGUGCCUGACAAAGUGAGCCACAAGAAACACUUGAAAAUAAACUGAAUACCAGCAAUAUAAUCUAAAAUUUUAAUCUAUUGCCAACAAAAAAAAAUGGCUCCAGGCGGUUCCAGUGCCACCAUCUAGAUCCGUCACUGUGUCAAGUUCUUGAAGAGUUGUGUUCCGUUACAAAAUUCAAGUUCUUAUAAUCUCCUAAAUUAUCUUAGGUUGGCUCACCCUUAAUUGUUGGAAAAAUUCCAAUGUAUGGGGUCACACACGUAUGUAUAUUAAAAUGUGUAGUGCUAUUUUAAAGUUUAGUCAAUAAAGUGAUCCAUUAAUUUUAAUUUUGAACUAAUUGAUAUUAAAUGUCAUGGAAAUAGAGUAUAGAGACCAGAAGGGUUAUUUUAAAUUGAUGAAGGGGUCAAUUUAGGGAUGUCAAACGAGCCGAACGGCUCGUUGGCUCGUUAAAACUCAACUUGUGGGCGGCUCGAGCUCGAGCCCGAGCCGAGCAGGGGGCUCAAUCCCACGAGCCAAGACCGCAAGCGGCUCGUGGACCUUGUGCUCACGAGCCAUUUUGACGAGCCCACGAGGUCGUCCAAAAAAUUGAAUUUAAAAAAAAAAGGUGCAAAAAAAAAUUUAAAAAAAAACACGAUCACGCGAGCGGCUCGUGGGCUAAGCCGAGCUCAAGAAAAGGGCCCAGCCGGCUCAGCUCGGCUCGGCCCAUUGACAUCCCUAGGUCAAUUUAAAAUAACUAAUAGAUAAUAAUUGUCAUGUACAGUUAUUUAUCAUAGGUUAUGAUCCCCAAUUGUAAGUGAAUUUCUCUGUAUCCCCAUCAACAAAGUAAAAUUUUCUAAGAAAUUAUGUGUCAAUUGGAAAAUCAUAAUCCGUUCAAAAUACUCACAUCUAUGGAUCAAUGUAUGUUUCCACUUUUAAUCUUCUCUUUGAUUUCAACAUGGAGGAUUUACAUACAUAUGAAAGGGUUUGACGAAAGUUUUGGUUCCUUUUCAAUUCCUACAAGUGGUAUUAGAGCAUUCCAUUGUUGAAUCUUUGAAAAAUUGCAAGAAUUAAGGUUUUAAAAAUUUUGAUUUUGGGUCAUUUGAUCUUCCAUCAUGUGACUGUAUGGAAUUUAGUGCUUGCAAUAUUUUCAGAUUUGACAAUUUCGGAUCUAUUUUUUUGUUGAAUUUGAAAAACGUUUGGCACAUCAUUCUUGGUUAUCUUCCAAGAUUUGGAUUAAAUUUUUUUGGAAUUCGCUUUAUGGUUUAUUGGGUUUCAAAAAAAAAAUAAAAAUUUGAACAUUCAAUUAUGCAUUCAUCGCCAGUGCCGCAACGUUGCAGCGCCCAACAAUAGCGUGGAUGUUGUUGUUGGUUCUAGCAACGUCGGUAGCGCUGGACUAGGAUGGGUUUUGGGACGGGGGCCGGAGUUGCAAUUUCGAUAAUCUCAGGCCCCUACUUGCAAAUUAAGAUUAGGGUUAGGUUAUAUUUUAAAAUAAAAUUUUAAAUUUUAGUCCUUAAAGUUUGAAAUCCAUCCAAGUUAGACCUUUAAAGUUCUGGGUUUAAUAAUUCAAUCCCUAAAUUUUGAAAAUUAUUUAAUUUGGGCCAUUAAAGUUCUGAUUUUACAAUUAAAGCCCUCAAUGUUUAUAAUUAAUUCAAACUGGCCCCCUAAGUUUUAAAUUUUUCAAAUUUUGAUCCUAUAGUUUUGAACUAUUAACCCUUAGGUCCCUAAAGUUUCAAAAGACAUCUAAUGAUGCCAAAAUUGGUGAUUCUCUUUCUCAAAUUAUGGUAUUGAGGACUCUUUUGAGAGGUAUAAUUGAGAUUUAAUUAUGUGGGACAAUCAAAUUCAAAUAUUUUGGUAAAUCAUUUAUGAUAAAAUAAGAUUGCCUAGCAUUUUAAACAAACUAAUUCAAACAAUAUUUUACCAAAGUGACCUAUCUUGUGUAGAUUGGUUUGUUUGGGAUGUUUAAAAGUUGUGUGUGUGCUUGUUCAUGUGGGUAUUAGCCAGUCCAAAUGAAAGUUAAUAUUUGGCUAAAUUACAUAAACACUUGUGAUGAUGAAUGCGUGAUAAUUAUAAGAUUUCCACGUGAAUAAUAUAUCAAUCUAAAGAUGGGUUUACUUUUGACAGUAGUUAUUGUUAAUAUUUGAUCACUAUACCAAGAGUACCACUAGCAAUUAAUAUUACUAUCCAAAGACUUGAUAUUAAUGUUACACUAGGUGUCUUGAGAUGGAUUUUACCAUUUUUUGCAUUUAUUGAUCAUUAAAUGUGGAUAUUGAUAUGAGCAUGAUUAUUUAUUUAUUUUUGUUUUCUAUACAUUUACUUCAUCUGCUACUUCAAUAUCUGCUAAUGUUAAUUCUAUUGCCAUACUUAAUGGAACAAACUUCAAGGAUUGGAAAGAGAACAUAUUGAUUGUUCUUGGCUGCAUGGAUUUAGACCUUACGCUCCGAUUUGAGGAGUCCACUCCUCUUAUAGAAGAAAGUUCGUUCGAUAAAAAGAGAAACUUUCAGAAGUGGGAUCGUUCAAAUCGCAUGAGUUUAAUUGUCAUUAAGCGCGGUAUUUCGGAAGCUUUUAGAGGUACAGUAUUCGAAGGCGUAUUUAAUGCGAAUGAGUACCUUGCUGAAAUUGAGAAGCGUUUUCAGAAAAAUGAUAAGGCUGAAACAAGCACGCUUUUGCAAAGAUUGAUUUCAAUGAAGUAUAAAGACAAGGGGAACAUAAGGGAGUACUUCAUGGAGAUAUCUCAAAUUGCUUCUAAACUUAAAGGGCUAAAGCUUGCGUUGCCUAAUGACUUGCUUGUACAUUUGGUAUUGAUCUCGUUUCCUGCACAAUUCAGUUAAUUUAAGGUCAAUUAUAACUACUAGGAGGAGAAAUGGUUUCUAAAUGAGCUCAUUUCAUAUUGUGUGAAAGAUGAAGAAAGGUUGAAGUAAGAAAGAACUGAAAGUGCUCACUUGGCAAGCACUUUUAAAUAUAAGGGCAAGAAAAAGAAGAAGGAAUAUAAAGCUAUUCCUGAGGGUCUAGCACAAAAGAAAUGGAAGGUAGACUAAGGAAUUUGUUUCUUUUGCAAUAAGACUUGGCAUGUAAAGGACUGUACCAAAUAUCAUGCUUGACAUGCAAAGAAAGGGCUUCUUGAGCUAUCGAAAGCCAAAUGAUGGUGGAAGUUGACGUAAUAGGUACUUUUAGAGGGUGUUUGACACCCAUUCCUAAGAAAAAAAUGAAUUUUAAAAUAGUAAAUUGAUGGAGAAUGUGUGGUUGAGAAGUCUUUGAUUUACGUGUAAUAUUAUUUUAAUGAAGAAUGUGUGGUUGAAAAGAAGAGAGAAAAAAUAAAUUUUGAGAAAAAUGGGAAUCAAACGGGCCCUUAAAUUGUUAUUAGGAACUCGUCAUUAUCUGGAUUUGAAAGACACCUUUGUUGUACCUUUUUUUAGAUGGAAUUUGAUUUUAUUUUUUAGUUGGACAACUCUGGAUACUAUUGUUCAUUUCAAAACAAUCAGUUUAGUUUCAUUAAAUUCCAAUGUUAUUGGUACUGAUUCAUUAUGUACAUAUGAUAAUCUAUAUUUGUUUGAUAUUAUUGUAUCAUAUAAUGAAACAUUGCAUGUGGAAUCAUGUGGUACUAAAUACAAAUUAAGUAAAGUGAAUUUAGCAAAAUUAUGGCACCAUUAGAGUUGAACGGCUUGUGUCAGAUUGUAUUUUGGACUCCCUUGACUUCACAUAUUUUGAUUUAUGUAUUGAUUGUAUCAAGGAAAAACAAACCAAAACAAGGAGAUUAGGUGCUAACAGAACUUCAGAUGUUUUAGAAUUGAUGUACACAGAUAUUUGUGGACCAUUCUCUACGACUUUUUGAAAUGGUCAACAAUAUUUUAUAUCAUUUAUAGAUGACUACUCACGUUAUGGGUACCUAUAUCUUAUCCACGAAAAGUCUAAGUUACUGGACGUGUUCAAAACUUUUAAAAUUGAAGUUGAGAAUCAACUUAACAAAAGGAUAAAGAGCGUUAGGUCUGACUGUGGUGGUGAGUACUACGGCAUAUAUAACGGUUUAGGUGAACAAUGUCCAGAACCAUUUGCUAAAUUUCUAGAGAAAUGUGGAAUCGUCCUACAAUACACCAUACCAGGAUCGCCUAGCAUGAAUGGUGUAGCUGAAAGACGAAACAUGACUCUUAAGGACAUGGUAAUGAGUAUGAUUAGUCAUUCCACCUUACCAAAAUCACUCUGGGGGUAGGCAUUAAAGACCACAACUUAUAUUCUGAAUAGAGUACCAACUAAGGCUGUUGCCAAAAUACCUUAUGAGCUUUGGACGGGCAGAAAGCCAAGGCUAAAGCAUUUUUACAUUUGGAGAUGUCAGCUGAGACUAGGCUUUAUAAGCCACAUGAAAAAAAUUGGAAUCCAAAACAGUGAGCAGUUAUUUUAUUGGUUAUUCUGAGCGAUCAAGGGGCUGUAAAUUUUAUGAUCUCAUAUUUAAGUCCAUUUUUUGAAAUGGGAACCUCAACAUUUUUUGAUGAUGUCAAGUUUGGUGGGAGAAAUAAAGUUAGAGACAUUGUGUUUGAGGAAGAAGUUGAGGAAGGAUCAGUUUCGAAUCCUACUAUUACUUUUGACAAUGUAUAGGUUUCUAUACCUAUCAUUGACCAAGAAGUAUAUUCAGAACCUCAAUAAGACAAUGUUGAAGAACCUCCCAUCCAAAAUGAGCUAAUGAUUUCAGAAGUAGAAACUUAACAACCUCAAGAACCAAUACCAUUAAGGAGAUCCACGAGAGAAAGGAAGUGCUAUUCCGGAUGAUUUUAUAGUAUUUCUCCAAGAACAUGAGGAAAAUAAUGGAAUGGUGAAAGAUGAUCCAAUCAAUUUCCAUCAGACCAUGCGGGGUUCUAACUCUCAAAAGUAGAUUAAUGCCAUGAAUGAGGAGUAUAAGUCUAUGCAAGACAAUAAAGUUUGGGAUCUUGUCCCGUUACCCGAAUGUGUGAAGCCCAUUGGUUGCAAAUAAAUUUUUAAAACCAAGAGGGAUUCGAAAGGUAAUGUUAAAAGAUAUAAGGUUCGUCUUGUGGCUAAAAGCUUUAACUAAAAGGAGGGCAUCGAUUUCAAAAAGUCUUUCUCUCCAAUUUCAAUGAAAAACUCUUUCAGGACAAUCAUGGCACUUGUUGCACACUUUGACCACGAAAUGAUUGAGAAUUAUGAUGGGGUUGAAAUGCAUUUUCUUCUUUGUAUUCAAGAAGUAUUGAAUGACCGAAUAAUUAAAAGAAGGGCACACUAUAGGGAAGGUCCUUUUGAGUAGAUGAGGGCCGUCGGAGCGGGACUUCUUUGGAAAAAAGAACUUAACUAACUUCAUUUUUCUGAAGGAGUCGUCAUUUUCUAUCAGGAAGGCUAUGCCAUUUACAAUCGUGAUAAUCGAUCCUUAAAUGAGAGUUGAGGUUUUACAUUCCCUUUUCAAAAAACUAAGACUACAUUCAAGUAGGCAUGCCAAGAGUAGUUUCCAGUUUUUGACACUGAACAAAACAUAAACCCAGGUAAGCAUUUCCUAUCGAAUGAUUCCAUUUGUGCUUGAGUUACAUCAGAUGGAUAUUAAGACAACAUUUCCCAAUGGUUACAUUGAUGAGACGAUCUACAUGGUGCAAACAUAAAACUUUGGGUUAGGAAACCCGAAGAAUAUGCUUUGCAAAUUAAAGAAAUUCAUCUAUGGGCUCAAGUAAGCUUCUUGUCAAUGGUACAACAAAUUUCGUCAAUUAAUUAUUUAAUUUGGUUUUGAGAUGAAUGCCGUUGAUGAUUGUGUGUAUCACAAGUUCAAUGAGAGUAAGCAUAUUUUUUUGAUUUUGUAUGUUGAUAACAUACUACUUGCCACUAAUGAUAUAGGCAUGUUGCACGGAACCAAUAGAUUUUUAUCAAGGAAUUUUGAGAUAAAAGAUCUUUGUGAUGCCUCUUUUGUAUUAGAGAUUCAGAUACAUCGGGAUCGCUCUUGAGAUAUUCUUGGAUUGUCACAAAAGAGUUAUAUCGAUAAAAUACUUAAGAGGUUUGACAUGCAAGAUUGAAAACCAGGUGACACUCCUUUCGCUAAGGGAGACAAUUUAGUCUCAAAUAAUGCCCGCAAAAUGACCUUAAAGAUAAGGAAAUGUAGAAGAUUUCCUAUGUAUUAAUGAAUUAGGAGUUAAUGUAUGCUCAAGUUUGUAUAUGUCUAGACAUAGUAUCUAUUGUUGGAGUGUUAGGCAGAUAUUUAAGCAACUCUAUGAUGGAUCAUCGGAAGGCAGCCAAAAGGGUUAUGAGGUAUUUAAAGAGAACAAAGGAUUACAUGCUUACAUAUAGUAGAUCUGAUUCGUUAGAGAUCAUAGGGUACUCCGAUUCUGAUUUUGCUGGAUGCGAAGAUAGUAGGAGAUCUACAUCAGGCUAUAUCUAUCUGCUAGCUGGAGGACUAUUUCGUAGAAGAGUGCUAAGCACACAUUCAUAACUUCUACCAUCGCACCAGACUUUGUAGCAUGCUGUGAGACACCUAAUCAUGGAAUAUGGUUGCAACAUGUUGUCACUGGGUUGUGCAUAUUGAAUGGCAUAGAUAGACCGCUGAAGUUAUAUUGUGACAAUAACUCAGCAGUUCAGUAUUUCAACAACAACAUGAGCUCAUCUAAGUUAAAACACAUUGACAUUAAGUUCUUGGUUGUGAAGAAAAGAGUACAGAGUGGACAGAUUUCCAUAGAACACAUUGGGACAAGCUCUAUGAUUGCGGAUCUGCAUACUAAGGUAUUGCCACCCAAGGUCUUUCAUGAGCUCAUUGCUCGUAUGGAUGUUGUAUUUCUUGAGGAUAUCAUAUUUUAGUAGGAGUUUGUAUUCUCGUUGCUUUAUGUUUAUUUUUGAACACAUUUGUGUAUGUGAAUAUUUUUCUGUGCAGAAAUAAAGUAUUCAGUUCUUUUUACCCUGCUAUUAUGUUUAGUAUUGAUCUGACUUAAGAAAUAAGGUUGAACCAAUUAGAAAUAGACAUGUUCGGAUCACAUAACAUGUAAUUUCCAUGCUACACUCUCAUGAUUGAUUUAUAUCAUUUGAUUGUAUGGGUGUAUGUGACCAUUAAUGGAUUUAGUCACGCUAAAUGUGUCGCUUUGAUCCUACAUCAAUAUAAAUUAUGGACAAUAUUAUUUGAAAAUAUCCUUAAUAAUGAUAGCAAAAUUUUGAGCUCAUAAAGCUGUGCGCAUUUGUAAUAUUACAUGUAUGGCCUAGUGGGAGAUUGUUGGAAAUAUUCCAACGUAUGGGGCCACACAUAUGUGUAUAUUAAAAAUGUGUGAUGUUGUUUUAAAGUUUAAUCAAUAAAGUGAUUCGUUAAAUUUAAUUUUGCACUCAUGUGUAUUACAUGUCAUGGAAAUAAAAUGUAGAGAUCAGUAGGGUUAUUUUAAAUUGAUAAUGGGCCAAUUUAAAAUAAUUAAUAGAUAAUAACUGUCAUGUACAGUUAUUUAUCAUGAGUCAUGGUCUCCAAUUGUACGUGAUUUUCAGUUUUUCUAUAUCCCCAUCAAUAGAGAAGAAUUUUUUAAUAAAUUACGUAUCAAUUAAUGGAAGAUCACAACUCAUUCAAAACAUUCACAUCUACGGAUCAAGGUACGCUUCCGCUUCUAAUAUUCUCUUUGAUUUCAACAUGGAGGAUUUACAUGCAUAUGAAAAGGUUUGACAAAGAUUUUGGUUCAUUUUCAAUUCCUACAUUAAUUACUAAAAGUAAGGUCAUUUUAUAGAAAAUUUUUAAAAACACGGUUAUUUUUCAUUUUCUUCACUAUUUUGGUCAUCUGAAAUUUUUUUCCACAGAAGUAAAUAACUUUUACCUUCAAUAUACCCAUGAUAGAAGACACAUUCACAAUCCUUGGCGUAUCAGACAACCUUAAGAGUGGAAUAAAUGCUUCAAUCAUUCUCUUUGUACCAUAAUAGUUAGUUUGCAAACAUUGUUCUGCCCAUUCAUAUGUCUGAACAAGUUUUCCAUUUGCUGUGAUAUGAGCUUUUUGUGGCUGCAUUAUUGAAGAAAGAAAAUCUGUUAUUGAAAUGAUCCUGCCUUUAGGUUCUAUAAAUUAGUGGUCGACUGCAUAAAUCUCUCUUCACUACCGCGUAAACUACUCAAAGAUCCAAAUGGACUGUACCUUUUAAAUCUACAAUGAUCAUGUUAGUUUUGGUUUACCAUUUCCUCUGUUAACCUAUUCUAUUGAUAGCAGCAUAAGAGCCUUUUUAGGUAUAUAUAAGACACAUCUCAAACUCCUAAUUUGUCAAUUUCUUAACCUGUUAUUCUGUGCAAUAUCAUAACUUCCCUUUAAUUUUACAAAACAAAUAAAAAUAAAAAUGUCCCGACUGCUUUAAUCUACUAUUUCUUAUCUUAUCUAUUUUACCGUGAUCACACAUGCAUCCAUUAUAACAUCCUCAUUUACUUCCUCCAAACAUUCUAGUUUCUUUGAAAACAUGUUAACAUUUUGAAUAAAAAAACUCAAAAGGAAUAUAAAUCGAAGUGAUUUCCACAUUCUAUGAAAAGGUGAUAUAUCUCACUGCAUACAGACUUUUUCAUGUAUGAACAAUUAACUUGUUCAGUAGACUGAUUUUUAUAGCACUCAACAAUAUAAAGAAAUAGAAGUUAAAAAUUCCGUCAAUUAUAAUGUCUGAUCGUCUUGUAUUAUGUUUGUCUAAAAGUGUCAUUAGUAGUAAACAUUUUAUUCUCAACUAAUAGUAUUCAAUUUCGCCUGAAGUUUUCAGUUGAGUGAUGAAAUAAAUAUAGUACAAAGAGUCAAAGACCAACCUUGGAGUCAUCAGGAAAUGAAACUACAUCUGCCUCAAUUAUAUCUUUAACAACUAAGAUAUCUCCCUCUACACUUACUCCAGAUAUACCUGCAUUAUUCACCUGCAUUUGAGUGAUCAAGUCCAUGAGCUUAAAAGCAGCAUUAUUGCUUCCCCACAUUAAUUAAUACAGAAAAAUGAACCAUUCUUUAAUUUUAUAAUCUGAGAAAAAAUCUCAGCUAUGUUGAAAUGUUUUUCGGAGUGAAGAAUAACUACUAAGCUACUCAGGAACAUUAGGUGAUUUCUUAAGCAUGCAUUGGAUCCACAUUGACUGCAUGAUGAAUAGCUAGAAUGUCAAACGAACUGACUUUGCAAAGGCCCAGCCCGACCCCUAUUUUAUGGGAGCCAAUCUUGUCCAAAAAAUCGAGGUCAGUAGAUUUUUCAUUCUUCUUUCUACGAUGAUAUCGGAUGUAACUAAGCUUGUUACCUCACAAUUUUGGGUCAGCUACAAAUUAUACAUUUUCGCUACUUUCUUGAGGUCGGCUAGAUGAAACCAUUUUUUGCCUCUCCAUAUCUUCUCGAAAUCUAAAAACAAGUAUAGCCACUUCCACAGGCUAUGUUACUUUUAAGACAACUGUCCCUAUUUUGACAUCUCCCCCCGAAAUUUUAUCAUUCUUAUAGAAGAGAUUAAUCAAUAAACACAAAAAAUUGGGCCAAAAAAAAAGACAAAAUUUAGAAAAUAAAAAACAUUGAAAAAAGAAGAAAAAUUCAUACCAAAAUAUCAAGCUUCCCAUAAAUGUUUUUGAUGAAAUCGGCAAGGGAAGCAAUACUAGUUGGAUCCAUUACAUCAAGUUGAUGAAACACAACAUUUUCAGUGAGACCAAAGCCUUUGAGCUUUUCUAGAGCUUCAUUGCCUCUCUUCUCAUCUCUGGCUGUCAAAACCACAACGACUCCUUUACAUGCCAACUGCCUACAUAGCUCAAACCCUAUUCCUUUAUUUGCCCCCGUCACAACUGCAUACCUAGAGAAAUAAAAAGAUGAAAACGGUAAGGUCUUGUUAGAUUCACAAUAUUGAAUAUAUCAAAUAAGACUAGACAAUAAAAUAGACAUGAUUUUUUAUUUUUAUUCUUUCCCCUUAAUACAACAUAAUCUUGUUUGGUCUUAGGAUGUCAACAAGUCGAGUUGAGCCGGCUUACUAGCCGAAACUCUAGGCUUGGGCUCGGCUCAAGUAAAAUUAACACGGGCUUUUUUGGCCCUGAUCAACAAGCAAAAGCUCGAUCAAAAAUUCGACGCUCAACCCGAGCUUUUUGGUUUUGGCAUUAUCGACCCGAGCUGGCUCGAUUAUUAUUAUUAUUUUUUAUUAUGAUUGGUAGCACAUAUUGCCUUUAAAAAGCACGCUGCAUUUUAUUUUAUUUUUUUUAUUUAUAUGAUCAUGGGUGUUCGGUUUAACUCACAUAUCUCGACUAAUUCUACGACGUCCUGAAAUUUACAGUCAGGUACUCACCUUUGUGAUCCUGAAGGGACUCAAACUAAGGACUGUCUUUUUAAAGGUAGCUCUCUAUCGCCUUUUCUUUAAAUGAGUAGAGCCCGAGCCUCGGCUUGAUUUUACCGAGCCUUUAGUUGGGCUGACUCGGGCUUUUUCACGGCUGAGCCGCGCAAGCUAAAUUGUCAUCCCUAUUUGGUAUUGAGUAUUAAAAUUGCCACACAACCAUUUGGGGUAUGAACUCAUUCGUAUUCAUGUUGGGAUGGAAUCUCCAAGAAAGUUACCACGAUCAACGGAGCGAGCUCAUGCAAUUUGGGUACUGUGAGAAAAACUCUUUGUCCAUUUGAUUGCAAAUAUGGAAUUGAAUUGAAUUGAAAACAAAUUUCAGAGAAUUGAAUUGCCUAAAAAUUAUUUUUCUGAGAAUUGUAAAUUAUUGUGUUUGAUUGAUAUAAUUUUUCACAUGAAAAAUGUUAAAAUAAAAGUGUUUUUUGGUGUUCGUUUGCCUUUGUUUUACAUGAAAAUUGUUAAUUAAAGGGAUAAAAUUUAUUGACACUGGGGAUGAAAUUUGUUUUCAUUGUCAACAAAAAAAAAUCGAGAAAAUCAUCUAUCUUUUGAUAUUCAUUUGACUUUGUUUUAUAUGAAAAUUGUCAAUUAAAGUAAUAUAUUUUUUAACAAAAACUUUUAGAAUUUGUUUCCAUUGUCCCAAAAAAAAAAAAAAAAAAAAAGUCAACAGUGGAUUGUAUUGGUGGAAAUUGGUUUUCAAGGAAAACCAAGAAAAUCACAAUUUCCAGGACAAACAAGGAAAUCAAAUUCCAUGAGAAAAAAUGUCCUAUCAAACAACAAAAAAGUUGGAAAAUGUAAUUCAUUUUCCAUGGAAUUCAAGGCCAAUCAAACAUGGCCUUACAAUAACUGUUCUAUUAGUUAGUAGAAAGAGGGGAAAAUGUCCUAAAAUUUGUGGCCUUGUAUAAAUAUAGGACCUUAGGCAAUGUCUCACCUUCCUAAGGGUUGAGCCACCUUCGGAUCAGGUAUGUAAAGAUGAUUUCAAGAAAAUUAACGGUUCUCAAUCUAAACUAAUUUCAACGAAAGAUUAACAGCCGUCAUGGAAAAUUUCUUUUCUACUACAGUCUUAACACUCUUUUUCACCACGAUUAUUAAUUAGUCAAAUAUGAAAACUAAAUGUGGCUAAAUAAUUGAAUUGAAAGCAAGUUUAUUUACCUGUUUGAUGACUGGUUGCUCAUUGUUUCUGCACUUUCACUCUUCUCUCUGCUCAUUUUGAAGCUUAAUAUUACUCUGUCUCUCUCUCUCCCCCCCACAAGUCACUCCUACCUACUCCACUUCGAAAAUUAUACUGCCAAUUUGACUUUGAUUUGGCCCAUAAACAUGUUUUUAAUCAAAUGCUCUACAGUCUCCACUUUAUUUUUCCAUAAUGGAGACAAGUACAUCAUUGUAAGAUUCUUAUUUUUUAAUUAACAUUAUAAGAUUAUUAAUUUGUUUUGAAUAUAAUGAGACCAUUAUUGGUGAACAGGAUUUGACAUUUUUUAACUUUUAUGAAGGAUUUAACAAGAUAUAGUCGUAGAAUAAUGUUUAAUGUAUAUCAAGUCGUCAUUGCAUACAUUGUAUGAAGUCUUCCGUCAAAAUUGUAAAUUUUGCACACGUUUGGUGUAGCUAAAAACGUUAAUAAAAAUCAACAAUUAAUUUUAACUAUAUAUUCAUGAGAUCCAUAGUUUUUAUCAAUUUUUCAACCACAUAUUUCGUUAAGUUUUAUCAAAAUCUAGAUUUUUUAUUAAAAAAUUCAAGAAAUUGAGGAUGUCAUGACAAUAUUACAGCUCUAAAGACCCUUCUUUCUAAUAAAUACAACAAUUUUGCUUGGUUUACAUCCCCCUCACAAUAAGGGGCCCGCAAAUAUUUAAUUCAUGUGAGCCCCCUCACAUGUUGAGGGGGCUGUACACCAUGUACAAUUUUUUUCUUAAGAAGAUGGAGACAUCAAUUGGUACAUCCAUACACGAUAAUUUCUCUGCGCGUGAUGAAAGAUCUUUUCCAUUGCAUUAGUGUCCUCACUGCAGCCACAAUUUUUAUUUUUUAUUUUUCAUUUAUAGAUUAUUCAUCUCUUAUUUUCAAUGGAAAUUAAUUUGAUGUUCUCCAAUUAUAAUUUAAGAAAGUAACGUGAGUGCAAAUUUUUACGGUUUUUACUCUUUUUUAUUUAAUUAGCUAUAGAUCGAUAUCCAAAGUAGUGAAAUACUCUCAACUUUUAAAUUUAAGCAAACGUGCCAAGGUCAUAUUUGGUAUUUUUCAUCAAUAUUUGUAAGUGUGUGAUGUCAAAAUAAACAAGUAGUACAGUAGGUCCAAAGAGCCCGAAUUAUCAUAUUAAUUAAGGAACAUAAGUAAGAUAUUAUCUAUUAUAGUAUUUUUUUUUUUUUUAAAUUAAGCAAACAUGCCAAGGUGUCAAGGACCGCAGCUUUACUUAGCCCCUUGACACUAUCGCAGCCGCAGUUUGCCCAACUUCGGCCGCACAUUGUAAAUAUUAUUUCAAGUUUGAGUUGUAAUUUUCGUUUCAUUGUAAUAGUUAUUUUAAUUGUAAAAUAGCUCUGAUAUUGGUAAAAGAUUAGUAUGAUUCCUCGUCUUUUAAACGUCUACUCCCGUCACUUGGGUUUUUGUUCAGAAUGCUAUUAUAGGGGGUAUUAGUCAUUCAAAAAUCUUUCAAGCUCACUGGUGUCCGCCCCCUGCACCAGCAUUUGUAAUUUUCUGCUUUCAUCAAUUGUAAUGUUCAGUUUUCAGCAAUCAAUGUUCAAUUUACUUUCAAUGUAUUCAAAUUCUCAAUUGUAAGCUUUCUACAAAAUUGCAAUCAAAUUUUCUUUCGUCCCGACGCGACCGAGAAAAGGCGGAAGGUAGUCUAGCGGAGUCAAGAACAAUUAUGAGAUUUUCAUCAAGAACAAUUAUGAGAUUUUCAUCUUCCUUUUUGACCCAACCGAUAAGGAGUAAUUUUUGAGAAGUGUGAUAAUGCUGAUUGUUAUGACUUCAUACUAAGACGAUGAUAUAUAUAAAUGGAAUGAACUACAAAAUCACAGUAAAUUUAUAUCAUAGCCCUUUCCUGUAUCACAGCGGCUUGCCUGAAAUCCUGCUUGCCUGAAACACUAAAGAAGUACACAAAAAUAGCCCCGGUCUGGAAUUCUUGAUGUUCAACAAGUAAAUGAAAUUUCAAGAACUCCAAAAAAUAUGGGAAGCUUCAAGUUCUGCCAUGACUAAUUUUGGAAUAUAGAGGACAAGUCUUGGGUGGGUUUUAUAUCAUUCAAGUGCUUGUUCGAAUCUUAAAUUACUUAUUUUACCAGAAAGCAUAAUGUAAUGGGAUGUGUGAAACUACAAGUAUGACUUCUUGCAAAUCUAGAUUGAAGGUGCAAAUUUUUUAUUGCAUUUUCUCAUUCUACUAGUGUUUCGAUUCUAUGAUAGAUAUUGUUGCUAGUUGUAAGAAAUGAUGAAUCGAGAUCUAUAAACUUGCAUAAGGUCAAAUUAACAGAAAAGAGAUCUUCUGGUGAAGAAAUCUCGUCUAGAGAUGAGCACAUAGAUAACAUAAAAGCUUCUGAAGUGUCGAGAAUAGCACUUGGAAAAAAAUCUAGAGCAACUUGAUUAUUAUGUUGAUUGAUCCAUAAUAGAAAGACAAAAUAAGGAUACAUCCUAAUAGAACUAUAUCUUUGCAAGCCCUCUUCUAAUUCGGCUAUGAUACAUAACAAUAAAGUCAAUAACUCCAGAAAACGGGGCAAGCGGGACGACCUUUCCUGUUUCUUGUCCUAAGAUUUUCAGGUGAUGGGUGGAGAAUAAAUAUCCUCAUGGCCUAAAUGUCCAUCUCGGUCGCCAUGCUUGGAUUACUAAAAGUCUAGCAAGAAACAUGGACAAAGAUCACAAAAGAAUGCAUCCAACAUCUAGCUUAAAUUUCUCAAUAAACAUUCAUAGGGGCAUUGCUCUGCCGCCACCGACAUAAUAAAAGUCUGGCAAGGAGCAUGGAGAUGGAGUAAUCUUGACACUUUUCCACCACAUCUAAAACCCUAGAGUCUCCAACAUCUACUUUAAAUUUCUCGAACAACACAUUUACUAAUGGAUUCAGCAGCAAUUCAUACAAAGAAAUUACAGGUAGUAGUAAAACUCUAUAAAUAUAUAAUCUUGGAAUAGACAUACCUGGAAGACAAUAUCAAAGAAAUCGAUUUUUAGAUAAAGCAACAUUUCACAGCAAUCGAUCUAUAACAGAAGCCAAAAAUCUCAUAAUUCGAACUGCAGAUGAAAGCCUAAAUCCGCUUCAAUUGAAGAGUUUUAAUUAGGUUUGGGCCAACUAAACAUAUGCAACAAAGGGAGGGAAUAAAUAAUUUUAGGGAUAAAAUUUU